GCUGAAAUAGCUUAGUUGGUUGAGCAUUAGACUGAAGAUCUAAAGGUCUCUGGUGCAAUCCCAGGUUUUGGCA